GCUUGGAUGUGGGGGUUGCAGGUCCGCUUUCGUGGUCUGCUCCUCUAAAACGUAUUAGUGGGUUAGUCCCCUAAUCUAUUGGUGUGAUAAUUAUCUACGCCGUGGAUUGGGAUGGCUAUAUAGACCCGCUUCUAACCGUCCUCACGGACAACUUUGACAUUUUUGACCUCAAAUCAGGUAAGACUACCCGCUGAACUUAA
rnacentral:misc_RNA from 1 species